AUUGAACGCUGGCGGCAGGCUUAACACAUGCAAGUCGAGCGGGGGGAGGUAGCUUGCUACCGGACCUAGCGGCGGACGGGUGAGUAAUGCUUAGGAAUCUGCCUGUUAGUGGGGGACAACAUCUCGAAAGGGAUGCUAAUACCGCAUACGUCCUACGGGAGAAAGCAGGGGAUCUUCGGACCUUGCGCUAAUAGAUGAGCCUAAGUCGGAUUAGCUAGUUGGUGGGGUAAAGGCCUACCAAGGCGACGAUCUGUAGCGGGUCUGAGAGGAUGAUCCGCCACACGGGGACUGAGACACGGCCCAGACUCCUACGGGAGGCAGCAGUGGGGAAUAUUGGACAAUGGGGGGAACCCUGAUCCAGCCAUGCCGCGUGUGUGAAGAAGGCCUUAUGGUUGUAAAGCACUUUAAGCGAGGAGGAGGCUACUUUAGUUAAUACCUAGAGAUAGUGGACGUUACUCGCAGAAUAAGCACCGGUUAACUCUGUGCCAGCCGCCGCAGUAA
rnacentral:rRNA from 1 species